GGUCGAGUGGUGUAGCUGGUAGCACUUACAGUUGAAUUUCAUAAAUAUAAUUGGUGUCUCUGCAUGGCCCUUGUUCGAUUCAAGGCUCGGCCC